UUGGGGCAACUCCCCGGACGUAAGGGUAGAGAGUACCUGCUGGAAACAGCUGCCGGCGUGGAAGCCGCUCCUGC
rnacentral:RNase_MRP_RNA from 13 species